rnacentral:rRNA from 1 species
CCUACGGGUGGCAGCAGUGAGGAAUAUUGGUCAAUGGACGAGAGUCUGAACCAGCCAAGUAGCGUGAAGGAUGACUGCCCUAUGGGUUGUAAACUUCUUUUAUAUGGGAAUAAAAUGUUCCACGUGUGGGAUUUUGUAUGUACCAUAUGAAUAAGGCUCGGCUAACUCCGUGCCAGCAGCCGCGGUAAUACGGAGGAUCCGAGCGUUAUCCGGAUUUAUUGGGUUUAACGGGAGCGUAGGUGGAUUGUUAAGUCAGUUGUGAAAGUUUGCGGCUCAACCGUAAAAUUGCAGUUGAAACUGGCAGUCGUGAGUACAGUAGAGGUGGGCGGAAUUCGUGGUGUAGCGGUGAAAUGCUUAGAUAUCACGAAGAACUCCGAUUGCGAAGGCAGCUCACUGGACUGCAACUGACACUGAGGCUCGAAAGUGUGGGUAUCAAACAGGAUUAGAUACCCUAGUAGUC